UUCUGGUGCUUUGGCGGAGGGGUCACACCCGUUCUCAUUCCGAACACGGCAGUUAAGCCCUCCUGCGCCGAUGGUAGUCGAAAGGCAAGAGUAGGUCAGCGCCAGAAC
rfam:Candidatus Kaiserbacteria bacterium RIFCSPHIGHO2_01_FTLL_54_36 rifcsphigho2_01_scaffold_7615, whole genome shotgun sequence.